UGGGGGAUAUUGCACAAUGGGCGAAAGCCUGAUGCAGCGACGCCGCGUGGGGGAUGAAGGCCUUCGGUUUGUAAACUUCUUUUGCUCUGAACAAGGCAUGCUAAUGGGUGUGUUGAGUGUAGGGGUUGAUUAGCGCCGGCUAACUACGUGCCAGCAGCCGCGGUAAUACGUAGGGCGCGAGCGUUGUCCGGAAUUAUUGGGCGUAAAGGGCUUGUAGGUGGCUGGUUGCGUCUGUCGUGAAAGCUCAUGGCUUAACUGGGGGGUUGCGGUGGGUACGGGCUGGCUUGAGUGCAGUAGGAGAGGCUGGAAUUCCUGGUGUAGCGGUGGAAUGCGGAGAUAUCAGGAGGAAUACCGGUGGCGAAGGCGGGUCUCUGGGCUGUUACUGACACUGAGGAGCGAAAGCAUGGGGAGCGAACAGG
rnacentral:rRNA from 1 species